rnacentral:misc_RNA from 1 species
GCGGAAUUCUCCAAAAUUUUCACCCAAGCAUCUUCUGACUAACUAUAGUUAAGUAAUAAUCUGUCUAGACGGCAACACAAGAAACAUGUUCCAACAAAACAAUUGAAUUCAUUUCUCGUCACGCCAUCACAUACAUCGCCAUUGUGUUGCUCAAUGCACCUACUCAAAAGCCACCAUAGCCAGCCAACUUGAUUUCAACUUCCACUUAGAUCACAUGGAAACUAGCAUAUAAUUUAGACCAAUUAGUCCAAUACCCUUGCUGAGUAAUUUUUACUACCCG